rnacentral:rRNA from 1 species
GAUGAACGCUGGCGGCGUGCUUAACACAUGCAAGUCGAACGAGGCACUUUUAAUUCUUCGGAAGAGAAAGUGACUGAGUGGCGGACGGGUGAGUAACGCGUGGGUAACCCGCCUUAUACAGGGGGAUAACAGUUAGAAAUGACUGCUAAUACCGCAUAAGCCGAUAGAGUCGCAUGACUUAGUCGGAAAAGAUUUAUCGGUAUAAGAUGGACCCGCGUCUGAUUAGCUAGUUGGUGAGGUAAUGGCCCACCAAGGCGACGAUCAGUAGCCGGCUUGAGAGAGUGAACGGCCACAUUGGGACUGAGACACGGCCCAAACUCCUACGGGAGGCAGCAGUGGGGAAUAUUGCACAAUGGGGGAAACCCUGAUGCAGCAACGCCGCGUGAAGGAAGAAGUAUUUCGGUAUGUAAACUUCUAUCAGCAGGGAAGAAAAUGACGGUACCUGACUAAGAAGCCCCGGCUAACUACGUGCCAGCCGCCGCCGUAA